rnacentral:rRNA from 1 species
UACGAAGGGGGCUAGCGUUGUUCGGAAUUACUGGGCGUAAAGCGCGCGUAGGCGGAUCGUUAAGUCGGAGGUGAAAUCCCUGGGCUCAACCCAGGAACUGCCCUCGAUACUGGCGAUCUUGAGGAUGAGAGAGGCGAGUGGAAUUCCGAGUGUAGCAGUGAAAUGCGUAGAUAUUCGGAGGAACACCAGUGGCGAAGGCGACUCGCUGGCUCAUUUCUGACGCUGAGGCGCGAAAGCGUGGGGAGCAAACAGG